UAUGAUAUACAGUGUAUCGCUCAGUGCUGACAGCACUGAGCGAUACACUGUAUAUUAUAGGUCAGCACUGGGUGAUACACUGUAUAUCAU